GGAGGGAGCCUCCCCUCUCAGGGGAUGAAGAGGGGAAGGACAGACCUGGGGAAGCUGCUUCAGCUGUGGGCACAGAAGGCAGCACUCGGGACAGUCUCCACCAUGGCCUGGGCCCCUCUGCUCCUCACCCUCCUGGCUCACUGCACAGGGUCCUGGGCCCAGUCUGUGCUGACUCAGCCGCCCUCGGUGUCUGGAGCCCCGGGGCAGACGGUCACCAUCUCCUGCAGCAACAUCAAGGGUAGUUACGUGCACUGGUACCAGCAGCUCCCAGGAACGGCCCCCAAACUCCUCAUCUAUGAUAAUAGCAAGAGACCCUCGGGGGUCCCUGCCCGAUUCUCUGGCUCCAAGUCUGGCAGCUGGGCCUCCCUGACCAUCACGGGGCUCCAGGCUGAGGACAAGGCUGAUUAUUACUGCCAGUCCUAUGACAGCAGCCUUGAUGCUCCACAGUGUUGCACACACAGGGGGAACUGAGACAAAAACCUGCCCCUGCUUUCUUGUCAUCACUGUCAUGAGUGCCUGUGACAAACACCAGGCAAA